GUCGAAACCUCUCUCCUAAAAUUACAAAAAACAAAUGUCACUCUCUUCAUUGAUAAAAGCCUUCUCUUUCUUGAGCUGAAAGUCACCCCUUAGCAAUGAAUAAAAUUAAAUAAUCUCUCCACAACUCCGCCUUGAUUACAAUACAUAAUUAAUGGGACUCAUAGACAGUUUGGACUCCAAAUCCUAUUUUGAUAAUAACUCUCAAUUCUAGCAAGAGUUAUGCAAAUGUUAAUUUACUUCUAAUGAUUUUUUUUCUCUUUAUGUUUUAUUGAAGAACUAAACUCCAAGAUUCAACAUCUAGACUCGUAGAAAGGAGAGCAACACCACUAAAGAACCAAUGGUAAUCGCAUUUUCCGUCAAACUGCUUAGGCAGUCAUCUAUCAACCCAGAUUCAAACACAAGUACCGUUAUCCAUACGCCACCUAGGUCCAAGUGCUAUCACAUCUUGAGUUUGAAUUAUGCUAUGCUAUAGGUGACUGGGAUGAAAGCCAAUCUUGGCUUCCAGAAUUGUAAACCAAGGAAAAUAUGUCUUUCAAAACCCUUGCAGCUAGUGAAUUAAGCACAACAUUCUCCACACAAAAUUAAUUAAUUAAUUAAUUAAUAUUACAAGUAAUAACCCAUUCAAAAUUUUGAAAUGUCAUGAAAAGGUCAAUGAAAAGUUGUGUCUGUGUACUAAAAAUUCCAAAUUCCAAAUUCAUCUAAAAAUCUUGAAAAUUAUUUUCUUAAAAUUAUAACACAGGAUUUAAUAAUUUAGAUACUGGAGAAUUACUGUAUGGUGCAUUUCAUCAAAUUCUCGGCGUAUAACAUAAUAGAAUUACAAAAUAUUAUCUAUUCGACUGCCAUUUAGAAUCUGAUUAACGGUAAAAUGAACCAA
rnacentral:misc_RNA from 1 species